GCUGCUCAAUCAGCCAAGGAAUCCAUGCAGGAGACUGGUCAACAGGUGAAAGCGAAGGCACAAGGAGCUGCAGACGCAGUGAAAGAUGCAACAGGCAUGAACAAGUGAGGAUCCUGCGAUUAGCUAUUACUUUUGCUAUAAUAAAAUAUAUUUGAUUUUGGGUCUUAUAAUCGGAUUUCAAUUAUUUAUUUCAUUUCUAAGAAUUUUAUUUAUCAUUUUUUAUUAUUUUGGAUCCUCUAGUCAUGAUAACAGUCUUAUGUAAUUCUCUCUUUUCAUUAAUAAACGAUAUUUGCUCUU